GUGCUCACUUUAGCAGCACAUUACUAAAAUUGUAAUGAUAGAGAAUAGCAUGGUCCCUGCACAAGGGUGGCAUGCAAAUUUGUGAAGUGUUCCGUAUUUUU
rnacentral:snRNA from 1 species